rnacentral:misc_RNA from 1 species
AUUUACGUUGAACUUUCUCACUCCAUUCUCGAUGCAAGCCUUUAUGAGGUUCUCAGGCAAACCUGAAGCUCCGUGCAGCACCAGGAAGACUUCUUUUUUUGAGGUCAAAGCAUGCAAGUCCUUGAGCAGAUCGAGUCUGAGAUUCGGGCCACCUGCUGGAUAUUUUCCAUGGACAUUACCAAUGCACACUGCCAGGGCAUCUAUGCCAG